AGUGAACUUUAAACUCAAUGAGUCACAUUUCCUCUUUAGUAUUUGUGUUUCUGUAAGUUGCCUUUGCUUGACAUACAUUUGGUGAUUUGGAUUUUGUACUUAUAUAUUUUCUCAUAGAACAGCUUUGAGUGUUAGAAUGUCUUUCCUAAUACUGAGUUGGAGUUGUCUCUCUGGUGUUGUGUCCACUAGCCCAGUUUUAUUCAUGAGAGGCAAUUCCCUUGUCUCAAAUAGACUGUAGACAAUACACACUGUUGGGUAAAUGACUUAUUCAAGCCCAGGACAUGGGGUUCUCUGUGUUGUGGCAUUGCCUCCUGCAGCAGAGUAAGCCUUUAACUCCUGACUUGAAGAAUAAACUUGGUGCCAGGUUCAAAGCUGCAUUGCCAGAAAUUCUAUGAGCCAAGAUGAAGUAGGGCAGUCGCUGCUCAUAAAGACUACCCUGCUUGAUUACAGGGGUUUACGAUUUCCUGCAUUUCUUUCUUACUUAAUCCUUAAGCGAAAUGCAGGAUAAGGAUUCAUGAUUACUCAUGAAUUUUUCACACAACCAGAUUAUUCAAUAGCAAUUUUAGUAAUAGCUCCAAUUUCUAAAAUAUUUCUUUUCUUUCUUUAGUUCUUAACUAAUGCAAAAAUUAAAAACUGGCCAAGUUGGACUUUAUUCCUCCUUUUUCUAUCCCCCAUUUAAAUCUCUCUACCCUUCCUGUGCUAAGCCAUAGGUGAUCUUACCCUUCAGGCUACCCUGUGCAGUAUAUCUCUAUGCCUCAGGCCAUACAUUGCCUCUUCCCUCAUUCAAGUUUUGAUAACAGAGUUCUCUCAGCAGCUGGUUUUAUCCAAUGUGACCAUGGCUGCUAAUAGGUUCUGGUCUCCUUAGUAAAUCUUUCAUAAUGUAUAGAUAGCCCUUGUUUUGUCUGCCUGCCUCUGCACCAUUAUUUUAAAAUUCUGUUAAAUACGUGUUUCCAGGUGGCCCUUAGGUAAUGGUUUUAUAGUGAGGGGUGGGAGAGGAUAGGCAUCAUGAUAAGAUCAUGGAUAAGAAAACUGCUUUGGUCUGUGGGUCCCUUAACACAACUUCACAUCACACAUCUCCCUCAUUAUAUAACACUAGUACUGUUCUCUGUUAAUAACAAUAAUAAUCAGUCUUAUUACAUGUGAUUAUUAUAUCUAUGUACUAUGUUCCAGGUACCAUACCUAGGGCUUAACAGAUUUCUAAUUCAACAUAACAAUCCUGUGAUGUAGGAAGAAUUCUUCUUAUUUUACAGAUGAGCAAACUGAAGUUCAGAGAGGUUGGAUAAUUGGUUUAGUAUCACAUAACUUCUUCGUUGGAAAGACAGGGUUCAAAGUGAGAGGGGAACAGAUCCAGCAACAUUUUGGCUCAUGAACAUGGCACGGUUUAAUAGGAGCCAGGUGACUGAGACAUCUCUGUGCUAUUUCUGAGAAAGCAAGCUGGUCCAUCACCUUUAAUGCAGGAGAAAUGAAGUUUCCUUCCAGCAUUAGCCCUGGUCUUUUGGUCAUGGCAGCACAAAGCUGACUGAAACAACAGAGAAGAACAAGAGACAGACUGAAUCCACCCUCAGAUAUAGCUCAAAGACAAGGAGAGAUUCAUAGAAUUAAGUAAUUGUGGCAUAGUGCACUUCUAGGAGCCACGAGAAGCAACACCUAACCAGCCUGCAGGCAUCUGGGAAAGCCUCCUGGGGGAGGUGUCCUCUGAGCUGGGCUCUGCAGCAGAAUCAGGAGUUAGUCUCCAGAAAUUUGUAUUUACAUAAUAUCCCUCUGCUGUGUAACACGAGAAGAGACUAAACAACUAAGUGGAUAUUAUGUGUGGGGAUGGAGACAUUGGGGUGGUAAGUAAAGAAUGAGAACCUAAAUAUUUAAACUGGAAUAUUCAAGAGAGAGUACAGGCCAGUGCAGGCUCUGGCUUCAGUUGACAGAGGUUGGAUCUCUGCCACUUCCUAGGUGUAUGAACCUGAGUAAGUUGCUUAGCAUUUGUCAGAUCCAGAACCUCACAGGGUCUUUAGGCUUCAAUGAAAGAAUAU